rnacentral:rRNA from 1 species
UGGGGAAUAUUGCACAAUGGGCGCAAGCCUGAUGCAGCCAUGCCGCGUGUGUGAAGAAGGCCUUCGGGUUGUAAAGCACUUUCAGCGGGGAGGAAGGCGUUAAGGUUAAUAACCUUGGCGAUUGACGUUACCCGCAGAAGAAGCACCGGCUAACUCCGUGCCAGCAGCCGCGGUAAUACGGAGGGUGCAAGCGUUAAUCGGAAUUACUGGGCGUAAAGCGCACGCAGGCGGUAUGUCAAGUCGGAUGUGAAAUCCCCGGGCUCAACCUGGGAACUGCAUGCGAAACUGGCAGGCUAGAGUCUUGUAGAGGGGGGUAGAAUUCCAGGUGUAGCGGUGAAAUGCGUAGGGAUCUGGAGGAAUACCGGUGGCGAAGGCGGCCCCCUGGACAAAGACUGACGCUCAGGUGCGAAAGCGUGGGGGGCAAACAGG